rnacentral:misc_RNA from 1 species
GAUGAAGAACGCAGCGAAAUGCGAUACAUAGUGUGAAUUGCAGAAUUCAGUGAAUCAUCGAAUCUUUGAACGCACAUUGCACCUCUCGGUAUUCCGGGAGGUAUGCCUGUUCGAGCGUCAUUUGUACCCUCAAGCUCUGCUUGGUGUUGGGUGUUUGUUCCGCCUCUGUGUGUGAACUCGCCUCAAAACAAUUGGCAGCCGGCGUACUUGUUUCGGAGCGCAGCACAUUUUGCGAUCCAGAUCAACGUACAGCGGCAUCCAAGAAGCCUUAUUUAACGCUCUUGACCUCGGAUCAGGUAGGGAUACCCGCUGAACUUAAGCAUAUCAAUAAGCGGAGGA